rnacentral:rRNA from 1 species
UACGAAGGGGGCUAGCGUUGCUCGGAAUUACUGGGCGUAAAGCGCACGUAGGCGGCUUUCUAAGUCGGAGGUGAAAUCCUGGAGCUCAACUCCAGAACUGCCUUCGAUACUGGAGAGCUUGAGUUCGGGAGAGGUGAGUGGAACUGCGAGUGUAGAGGUGAAAUUCGUAGAUAUUCGCAAGAACACCAGUGGCGAAGGCGGCUCACUGGCCCGAUACUGACGCUGAGGCACGAAAGCGUGGGGAGCAAACAGG